rnacentral:rRNA from 1 species
GACGAACGCUGGCGGCGUGCUUAACACAUGCAAGUCGAACGGAAAGGCCCUGCUUUUGUGGGGUGCUCGAGUGGCGAACGGGUGAGUAACACGUGAGUAACCUGCCCUUGACUUUGGGAUAACUUCAGGAAACUGGGGCUAAUACCGGAUAGGAGCUCCUGCUGCAUGGUGGGGGGUGGAAAGUUUCGGCGGUUGGGGAGGGACUCGCGGCUUAUCAGCUUGUUGGGGGGGUAGUGGCUUACCAAGGCUUUGACGGGUAGCCGGCCUGAGAGGGUGACCGGCCACAUUGGGACUGAGAUACGGCCCAGACUCCUACGGGAGGCAGCAGUGGGGAAUAUUGCACAAUGGGCGGAAGCCUGAUGCAGCAACGCCGCGUGCGGGAUGACGGCCUUCGGGUUGUAAACCGCUUUCGCCUGUGACGAAGCGUGAGUGACGGUAAUGGGUAAAGAAGCACCGGCUAACUACGUG